AACGAACGCUGGCGGCAGGCUUAACACAUGCAAGUCGAACGGACGUAGCAAUACGUUAGUGGCAGACGGGUGAGUAACGCGUGGGAAUAUGCCCUUUAGUUCGGAAUAACUCAGGGAAACUUGAGCUAAUACCGGAUAAUCCCGAGAGGGGAAAGAUUUAUCGCUGAAGGAGUAGCCCGCGUCUGAUUAGCUAGUUGGUGAGGUAAUGGCUCACCAAGGCGACGAUCAGUAGCUGGUCUGAGAGGAUGAUCAGCCACACUGGGACUGAGACACGGCCCAGACUCCUACGGGAGGCAGCAGUGGGGAAUAUUGGACAAUGGGGGCAACCCUGAUCCAGCCAUGCCGCGUGAGUGAUGAAGGCCUUAGGGUUGUAAAACUCUUUUGUCCGGGAAGAUAAUGACUGUACCGGAAGAAUAAGCCCCGGCUAACUUCGUGCCAGCCGCCGCGGUAA
rnacentral:rRNA from 1 species